rnacentral:RNase_MRP_RNA from 1 species
AAGCACGGCUUCGCAGCGCACAGACGAGGAGCUUGCUCCUGAUGAUGCUGCGGGGAAAGUCCCCGUGCCUUUGGGCAGAGAGUGCCAGCGGGAGACCGCAAGGCUUUGGUCUCGGUGCCAGCAGCGAAGCACUCAGCGGAGCUUUGGUGCAGAGGCUUUGGCCAGUUGCAGCAGCACAGGCAUGCCGUGAGCGCUCAUUGAGAGCGCCAACUGAACGGGGCUCACU